rnacentral:rRNA from 1 species
UACGUAGGUGGCAAGCGUUGUCCGGAUUUAUUGGGUUUAAAGGGUGCGUAGGCGGUCUUUUAAGUCAGUGCUGAAAUACUCCAGCUUAACUGGAGGGGUGGCAUUGAUACUGGAAGACUUGAGUGUAGUCGAGGUAGGCGGAAUUGACGGUGUAGCGGUGAAAUGCUUAGAUAUCGUCAAGAACACCGAUAGUGAAGACAGCUUACUAGGCUACAACUGACGCUGAGGCACGAAAGUGUGGGGAUCAAACAGG